rnacentral:lncRNA from 1 species
UCUGAUAUGCCAAGCAAAGUCUAUAUUUUUUAAAUAUAUAAGACUAUACCUAAUAUAGCAUUGUCUUAAAAAAUUAAAAUCAAAUUAAAUCAUUAACGAAAAAUCACUCAUAAACAGCGUUAAAAUUUACAGUUGACAUGGCACAUUAAAACUUAAUUGGCUAUCGCAUUACAAUAACAAAAUACCUAUUACGAAAUAAAUGUAAUAAAAACGGAAGUAACAUCGGCAACGUCGAGCACACCGUAUAGAUACCCGAUUCCCCUCGCCGGCAACCCGUUUCGCUAGAUAAACCGUCGACGGUGGUGGGGAGGGAAAAGAUACGAUUUAGAAUACAAAAGUGGUGGGGAUGAAAACUAGGCCAAAAAUUGAAAAUCUUUCUGUUUACCAGUCCGUUUGCCACCAAAUCCAUUCCUAAUCCCAUUUAAAAUAACAACACAAUUAAUUAAUUAAGCGACAAAGAGUGAUUGACGAGAGGCGAUUUAGAAAAAAAAUCGAUAUAUAAGUAAGGUUACGAGGUGAAAGAGACGUAAAUGUGACGAAAUUCGGACACGACAGCCCGUCCGGCAAGCCGAAUUGAAAAAAAUCGGCAUUUUUAAGUGUUAUUUUCAGCAUAAAUAGUGUUGGGAAUCCGUGUACGGCAGUGUUCGUGGGUAAAACGAUAAAAUUCUACGUACCUUUUACAAUUUUCACUUGACGGGUUGCGUCGGGGCACACGAACUGGGCAAAAGCAGGGAACGGCGCGUUCUCAUUGGUCGCCGCGGAGCGUCAUAUGAUACACAAAAAAAUAACAUUUGCUUUGAGGUUAAACGGUGGCGGCCGGGCGAAUUUCGUCCUUAAGGUCGUCCUUUUUAAGGCGAAACGUAUUCUUUACGGGAAAUUAUGUUUGAAGAAUGACUUAAUUUCGAUUUCAAUGCUAUAUUUUUUUUCAAGCUAUAGGAAGAAGUUAUUAUUAUUAAUAGCGAGUCGAGUUACGGUAGAUACGAGGGGCAUUGCGGAAGUUUGUACCUACUAUCCCAGUUCGUCCCGUCUGACCGUUAAUUAGGUUUGUUUUACUAGAGGAGUUAAUUUUAAACUAAUAUUUACAUUAGCUACGUUUACAACGCGCGUACCAAAUAUUUAAUACUUAGAUCAAAUAUGACGUCGUGAGGACUAUUUUUUCGGUUACAGCCCUGUUUACAAGGAUUGAUUUUGAGGUUUAAAUUAGUCCAGGAUUAUCUCGGGAGGAGAUCUCUGUCGAGGAUCAAAAUGUCAGUUGAAGUGAGUUUAGACGACGAAUUAGGUAUAGGACAUAACCUCUAAAUCUUUAAAACUCUUAUUGUUUAAAGAUAAUAAAAAUAAACUAAUAAUUUAUUUUUCAAAGCCUAAGCUUUUCCUCUGUACUUUCUUCUCUAUUUUUGUGUACAAAAAUAAAUAAUAAAAUGUCAAACUGAUCAUUUUAGUACCGUAAACCGGGGUUACUAUGAGCCACUUUUCAACUUCAAAUGAGUGUAACUUUUGCCAGUGACGUCUAAUUACCACGGUAAAUAUUGGAAAACCUUGAAGGCUAUGUCUACUUUCAACUUCUAUUAGUCAAAUAUGAUAUAUAUAUUCGCAUCUAUGAAAAAAAAAAUAAAAACAUGGUGGCCAUAUUCACCCCGCAUUUUGGGGUGUCUAUGGCCUCACGCUUAAAAACACGGAUAGGCUUGUUUGAAGGCGUAAAAUGAGUGACUAUGGCCACAAAAAGUGUAAAAAAAAUGUUUUUAGUGUUUUUUAUUUUACUUUAAAUAAAAAUACUCGUAUUUUUAUAGCUUUUUAUUGAAAAAACAGAAACAAAACUAAUAAACCUUUUGAUUAUUCAUAAAAACAAGGUAAGAACCUACAAAUAACCACUGUAUGUACCUAUUUAAAGAAAUAACUAAAAAAUAACAUUCUAAAACUAAAUAUUUGGUAACAAAAAGGAACUUAAAAAUAUAAUACUCUAGGUAAUAAAUAGGUAGGUAGGUAAACAAAUAGGAACUAAAAAUUAUUUGAAGAAAACAAAAUUUUUGUACUUCAUCAUUUCGGGAACCACAAAAAUUGCCCUUGAAGUGGUAGAAACGGGUUCUUUAAUUUUCUCCAUUAUUUCUAUGUUGGGGUACCAUAGAACGUCUUCGUUUUCGGCCACUUCCAACCUUUUGGCCCGGACUCAAUCAUCGUGGAAAUUUGUGCUUCAUUUUUAUUGGUGGAAAUCAUUUUUUCCUGGAUAAUAUUUUUGAUCAUAUUUUACUAUGACAAAUUCCCCACAUUAUUACACAUACAUUUUAUUGGAUGAAUUUUCAACCGGUAGCUGUUCCACUUCAACUGCCUCAUCAUCACUACUUAGAUGUGCCCAAUUUUCCCCUUCUGCUUCAGAUAAAGAAGUGUAGCCUCCAGAAGAAACAUCACUUUCUUCAUUAAAAUUCGUAGACCUUUUUGUGGUUUUUUUUGCCUCUUCGCAGAUUUCACACCUUUCAACUUUUCUGCCCCUUCCCUACUGGUUCCUGGCAUUUCUUCUAGCUCGGCAAUAUUGUUAUUUUCGAAAACAUCACUUAUAUCAUCUUCCUCGUCAUCCUCCAAAAGUGUUGGAUCCUCAAAAGGUGUUGGAUCCUCAAAAGGUGUGGGAUCCUCCAAAGGUGUUGGGACGUUCAGAAGGCUUUUACCAGGAGUUAUAUUAAUCUUCGUUCUCUUUGAUUUGGGUUUAGCAGAUCCUUUGCCAAAUCUUUAUUUUUCCAAUAAAUCUAAAACAGAGUCGCUUAUCAAAGAUUGGUUCUUAAGUGCGUCCACAUCUUUUUUUGGGAGUCUAUCUAUAACUUGCUGUCUAUUACAUGGAUAAAUUCCGCAUUUUCGAAAGCCAGAGAUUAAAGACUCUUUGCCAGUUUCCUUUAGAUUGGCCAUUAACUGUUUUAGGAGGCUUGGAAAAUGGGAUUUGUUAGCAACGCAUCCAUAUUUAUAUUUAUAUUCCUCCAAAAUUUUUCACCACGCUAACUUCAUUGGUCGAAAAUAUGCCACGUCUAACGGCUGAGUUAAGUGAGUUGUAUUGGGAGGAAGGCAAACAAAUCUAACAUUAUUUUCUUCACAUAAUUCCAACACAUGGGAAUUUAUGUGGGAUGAUAAGUUGUCACCUAUAACAACUUUAGGGCCCUCUUCUUUUUUUAAAACUGGAAGUACGAGGGUUGUGUUUUAAGUUUUGCAUAUGCAGCUGGAAUAAAACAAAAAAUAACUUUUAACGACUUUAUUGUUUUUCAAAGUAUUCUCCACGAAAUUUAAUGCACUUUUGCAUGCGCUCAAACCAGUUGUCAAAGCUGUUAUUCCACUCGUUUGUGGGUACUGUCAAAAUUGCAUUUUUAAAGGCGUUAACUGCUUCCUCUGGCGUCUGAAACCUCUGACCACGCAGUUCAUUCUUGAUUUUUGGAAAAGUAUAGAAAUCGUUGGGACUUAGGUCGGGACUGUACGGAGGAUGAUCCAAUAAUUCGACGUUUUGAUAAGUUGAAAAUUCAAUAGUUUUCCGGGCUCUGUGCGAACUUGCAUUGUCUUGGUGGAGGAUGAUUCGUCGUUGUGGGUUCGCUUUUCGAAGCUCAGCGAUGACUUUCGGCAAACAAAUGGUAAUGUACCAAUCGGCAGUAACAGUUCGUUGAUUCUCCAGAGGAAUUGUUGCAACAUGACCUGCUUUUGAGACAAAUGUUGCAACCAUCUUUUUGGAUACACUUCGAGAACGAAUGACUUUUGUUGGCUUUUCUUUAUCUUGAAAUACCCAUACAGACGACUGACGUUUAU